rnacentral:pre_miRNA from 1 species
UGGUCUAGUUCUGUGUGGAAGACUAGUGAUUUUGUUGUUUUUAGAUAACGAAAUUGACAACAAAUCACAGUCUGCCAUAUGGCACAGACCA